GUGGGGAAUCUUCCGCAAUGGACGAAAGUCUGACGGAGCAACGCCGCGUGAGUGAAGAAGGUUUUCGGAUCGUAAAGCUCUUUCGUUAGGGACGAACGUGCUCUUUGUGAAUAAUGAGGAGUAAUGACGGUACCUAAAUAAGAAGCCACGGCUAACUACGUGCCAGCAGCCGCGGUAAUACGUAGGUGGCAAGCGUUGUCCGGAAUUAUUGGGCGUAAAGCGCGCGCAGGCGGGAUAUCAAGUCUGUCUUAAAAGUGCGAGGCUCAACCUCGUGAGGGGACAGAAACUGGUAUUCUUGAGUGUCGGAGAAGAAAGUGGAAUUCCAAGUGUAGCGGUGAAAUGCGUAGAGAUUUGGAAGAACACCAGUGGCGAAAGCGACUUUCUGGACGAAAACUGACGCUGAGGCGCGAAAGCCAGGGGAGCGAACGGGAUUAGAAACCCCGGUAGUCC
rnacentral:rRNA from 1 species